rnacentral:rRNA from 1 species
UUCCAGACUCCUACGGGAGGCAGCAGUGGGGAAUAUUGCACAAUGGGGGAAACCCUGAUGCAGCGACGCCGCGUGAGUGAAGAAGUAUUUCGGUAUGUAAAGCUCUAUCAGCAGGGAAGAAAAUGACGGUACCUGACUAAGAAGCCCCGGCUAACUACGUGCCAGCAGCCGCGGUAAUACGUAGGGGGCAAGCGUUAUCCGGAUUUACUGGGUGUAAAGGGAGCGUAGACGGCAUGGCAAGUCAGAUGUGAAAGCCCGGGGCUCAACCCCGGGACUGCAUUUGAAGCUGUCAGGCUGGAGUGCAGGAGAGGUAAGUGGAAUUCCUAGUGUAGCGGUGAAAUGCGUAGAUAUUAGGAGGAACACCAGUGGCGAAGGCGGCCUGCUGGACGAUGACUGACGUUGAGGCUCGAAAGCGUGGGGAGCAAACAGGAUUAGAUACCCGUGUAUC